rnacentral:rRNA from 1 species
GAUGAACGCUAGCGGCAGGCUUAAUACAUGCAAGUCGAACGGUAAGUGAUGUAGCAAUACAUUGCCUAGAGUGACGUACGGGUGCGUAACACGUAUGCAACCUACCUAUAACAGGAGGAUAGCUCGGGGAAACUCGAAUUAACCCUCCAUAAUAUAAUUGAAUGGCAUCAUUUGGUUAUUAAAACUCCGGUGGUUAUAGAUGGGCAUGCGUCUGAUUAGCUAGUUGGUAGUGUAACGGACUACC